rnacentral:rRNA from 1 species
GGCUUAACACAUGCAAGUCGAGGGGUAUAUGUCUUCGGAUAUAGAGACCGGCGCACGGGUGCGUAACGCGUAUGCAAUCUACCUUUUACAGAGGGAUAGCCCAGAGAAAUUUGGAUUAAUACCUCAUAGUAUAGCUCUACCGCAUGGUAGUACUAUUAAAGUCACAACGGUAAAAGAUGAGCAUGCGUCCCAUUAGCUAGUUGGUAAGGUAACGGCUUACCAAGGCAACGAUGGGUAGGGGUCCUGAGAGGGAGAUCCCCCACACUGGUACUGAGACACGGACCAGACUCCUACGGGAGGCAGCAGUGAGGAAUAUUGGACAAUGGGCGCAAGCCUGAUCCAGCCAUGCCGCGUGCAGGAUGACGGUCCUGUGGAUUGUAAACUGCUUUUGUACGAGAAGAAACACUGCUUCGUGAAGCAGCUUGACGGUAUCGUAAGAAUAAGGAUCGGCUAACUCCGUGCCAGCAGCCGCGGUAAUACGGAGGAUCCAAGCGUUAUCCGGAAUCAUUGGGUUUAAAGGGUCCGUAGGCGGUUUAGUAAGUCAGUGGUGAAAGCCCAUCGCUCAACGGUGGAACGGCCAUUGAUACUGCUGAACUUGAAUUAUUAGGAAGUAACUAGAAUAUGUAGUGUAGCGGU